GUGGGGAAUCUUGCGCAAUGGGCGAAAGCCUGACGCAGCAACGCCGCGUGCGGGAUGAAGGCCCUCGGGUUGUAAACCGCUUUCAGUGGGGACGAACCAAGACGGUACCCACAGAAGAAGCCCCGGCCAACUACGUGCCAGCAGCCGCGGUAACACGUAGGGGGCAAGCGUUGUCCGGAUUCAUUGGGCGUAAAGAGCUCGUAGGCGGUUCGAUAAGUCGGGUGUGAAACCUCCAGGCUCAACCUGGAGACGCCACCCGAUACUGUCGUGACUAGAGUCCAGUAGGGGAGCGUGGAAUUCCUGGUGUAGCGGUGAAAUGCGCAGAUAUCAGGAGGAACACCAGCGGCGAAGGCGGCGCUCUGGGCUGGAACUGACGCUGAGGAGCGAAAGCGUGGGGAGCGAACAGGAUUAGAAACCCUUGUAGUCC
rnacentral:rRNA from 1 species